AGUGAACGCUGGCGGUAGGCCUAACACAUGCAAGUCGAACGGCAGCACAGUAAGAGCUUGCUCUUACGGGUGGCGAGUGGCGGACGGGUGAGGAAUACAUCGGAAUCUACUUUUUCGUGGGGGAUGACGUAGGGAAACUUACGCUAAUACCGCAUACGACCUACGGGUGAAAGCAGGGGAUCUUCGGACCUUGCGCGAUUGAAUGAGCCGAUGUCGGAUUAGCUAGUUGGCGGGGUAAAGGCCCACCAAGGCGACGAUCCGUAGCUGGUCUGAGAGGAUGAUCAGCCACACUGGAACUUAGACACGGUCCAGACUCCUACGGGAGGCAGCAGUGGGGAAUAUUGGACAAUGGGCGCAAGCCUGAUCCAGCCAUACCGCGUGGGUGAAGAAGGCCUUCGGGUUGUAAAGCCCUUUUGUUGGGAAAGAAAAGCAGCAGGUUAAUACCCCGCUGUUCUGACGGUACCCAAAGAAUAAGCACCGGCUAACUUCGUG
rnacentral:rRNA from 1 species